AGUGAACGCUGGCGGUAGGCCUAACACAUGCAAGUCGAACGGAAGCAUAGUAAGAGCUUGCUCUUACGGGUGGCGAGUGGCGGACGGGUGAGGAAUACAUCGGAAUCUACUUUUUCGUGGGGGAUAACGUAGGGAAACUUACGCUAAUACCGCAUAUGACCUACGGGUGAAAGCAGGGGUUCUUCGGACCUUGCGCGAUUGUAUGAGCCGAUGUCGGAUUAGCUAGUUGGCGGGGUAAAGGCCCACCAAGGCAACGAUCCGUAGCUGGUCUGAGAGGAUGAUCAGCCACACUGGAACUGAGACACGGUCCAGACUCCUACGGGAGGCAGCAGUAGGGAAUAUUGGGCAAUGGGCGCAAGCCUGAUCCAGCCAUACCGCGUGAGUGAAGAAGGCCUUCGGAUUGUAAAGCCCUUUUGUUAGGAAAGAAAAGCAGCAGGUUAAUACCCCGCUGUUCUGACGGUACCCAAAGAGUAAGCACCGGCUAACUUCGUG
rnacentral:rRNA from 1 species